UACGGGGGGGGCAAGCGUUGUUCGGAAUUACUGGGCGUAAAGGGCUCGUAGGCGGCCAACUAAGUCAGACGUGAAAUCCCUCAGCUUAACUGGGGAACUGCGUCUGAUACUGGAUGGCUUGGAUUUGGGAGAGGGAUGCGGAAUUCCAGGUGUAGCGGUGAAAUGCGUAGAUAUCGGGAGGAACACCGGUGGCGAAGGCGGCGACCUGGGUAGAUACUGACACUGAGGCGCGAAAGCGUGGGGAGCAAACAGG
rnacentral:rRNA from 1 species